rnacentral:rRNA from 1 species
GAUGAACGCUGGCGGCGUGCCUAAUACAUGCAAGUCGAGCGAACAGACGAGGAGCUUGCUCCUCUGACGUUAGCGGCGGACGGGAGAGUAACACGUGGAUAACCUACCUAUAAGACUGGGAUAACUUCGGGAACCGGAGCUAAUACCGGAUAAUAUAUUGCACCGCAUGGUUCAAUAGUGAAAGACGGUUUUGCUGUCACUUAUAGAUGGUUCCGCGCCGCAUUAGCAAGUUGGUAAGGUAACGGCUUACCAAGGCAACGAUGCGUAGCCGACCUGAGAGGGUGAUCGGCCACACUGGAACUGAGACACGGUCCAGACUCCUACGGAAGGCAGCAGUAGGGAAUCUUCCGCAAUGGGCGAAAGCCUGACGGAGCAACGCCGCGUGAGUGAUGAAGGUCUUCGGAUCGUAAAACUCUGUUAUUAGGGAAGAACAAAUGUGUAAGUAACUAUGCACGUCUUGACGGUACCUAAGCAGAAAGCCACGGCUAACUACGUG